rnacentral:rRNA from 1 species
GACGAACGCUGGCGGCGUGCCUAAUACAUGCAAGUCGAACGCAGUGGGGACGGGUGAGUAACACGUGGGUAACCUCCCAUCAGAGGGGAUAACACUUGGAAACAGGUGCUAAACCGAUACUGAUGGAUGAACCCGCGGUGCAUUAGCUAGUUGGUGAGGUAACGGCUCACCAAGGCCACGAUGCAUAGCCGACCUGUGAGGGGGAUCGGCCCACAUGGGGCUUGGAAACGGCCCAGAAUCCGACGGGAGGCAGAAGUUGGGAAACUUCGGCAAUGGAAGGAAGUCUGACCGAGCAACGCCGCGGGAGUGAAGAAGGUUUUCGGAUCGGAAAGCUCUGGUGUUAGAAAAGCGGUAACUAACCAGAAAGGGACGGCUAACUACGUGCCAGCAGCCGCGGUAAUAC